UACGUAGGGUGCAAGCGUUAAUCGGAAUUACUGGGCGUAAAGCGCACGUAGGUGGCGACGUAAGUCGGUGUGAAAGCCCCGGGCUCAACCCUGGGAAUUGCAUUCGAGACUGCAUUGCUGGAGUACGGAAGAGGAAGGCGGAAUUCCCGGUGUAGCGGUGAAAUGCGUAGAUAUCGGAAGGAACACCAAUGGCGAAGGCAGCCGCCUGGGCCUGAUCUGACACUGAGACACGAAAGCGUGGGGAUCAAACAGG
rnacentral:rRNA from 1 species